rnacentral:lncRNA from 1 species
CCGACAGGCUCCUAUCAGAGCUUCUCGCUGGCCACACGCCCCCCAGAGAGCAAGGGGCAAGGGAGCCUGGGCCACUGCUCACCAGGGCAGCCUCCCGGGCAGGAGCACAGUGAGGAGGCACAGCAAACAGACGUGCAGAGGCCCCUGGUCGACCCCAGCAGCCCCAGGUGCGUGGCCAGUAGGUGAGGAAGGCAGAAUUGCCACAUGGUGAAUGAAGACCUUCGGCUUCCUGAGUGGGGAUCAUCCAAGGAAACCCGACACACGCAUGCCUUCUAUUCCUCCAUUAUUUGCCUCUCCCCUUCCAGCGGCAACUGCUGUCCUAGGCCUUUCGCUGUGUCUGUUCUGUCCGCUGGAUGGAGUCCCUAAGGAUCCCUCUGUGCUGGCCACCUGCAAGGCUCAGACCCAUCCUGCCCAGCCCCCAGGUCCCGCCGCUCCCCGGCCUCGCCAGCACCUCGUGUCCUGGUCCCGUCACCCUGGCCGUCCAGCAGGUCCGUGCCGUCCGUCGGGCACUCGAGGCUCCUUCCCCCGGUCAUCUGCACAGCUGCUGUCUCUAGUGGCUCCGACACUCUUGAAAGCUGGCCCUCAUUCCAGGCAUAGCUGGCCUGCCAGCCUCGCUGCCCAAGGAGGCCCAGCAGAAGCCACUGUCAGCAGAAAGGCUUGCCUCGCUACAGCUGUGCGAAGCUCUCCCCAGCCCUGGACAGCUCCAGCCUUGGCAUCCCAGGGCUUGACCUGGGCGAGUCCUGAAUCUCUGGACCCCCAAGCCCCUCAGGCAGCGCCUCCCACAGGACUCGGCUGAGUGGUGCUGCAGGCCUGAUGGCCAGACUGGGCCUCCUCCCGGCCAGUCCGACAAGCCCGUGGACAGGAGGUAUUGUGACGUUGCGAGCCUCCACCUGGCAGCCCUGGAGAGCGGAGGAGGUGGUGAGGAGGGCCGGGCUGGAAAGGUGGGCCCGCCGGGAGCAGGGGCGCCGGGCUCAUACAUGGCCUGCCCCCCGGCUUCCCCAGGACGUGGGACUUGCAGGGUGAGGACCUGGGCCCAGUGGGCAGGCGUGUGUGACCGAGUGGGGCCCCGCUGUGGCUGGACCCUCUCUGCUCCCCACCUCCUGCCACAUCUGAGGAGCUGGGAGCAGGGGCUUGAGGGUGUCCCAAGUCCAGGAAAGGGGGUGGUAAAACCCCUGCACCCUGGGAGGACAGCUGGAGAAAGCGGGGGCCGAGAGGGCGGGGCAGGU